AUACGGAGGGUGCAAGCGUUACUCGGAAUCACUGGGCGUAAAGGGUGCGUAGGCUGACUUUUAAGUCAGGCGUGAAAUCCAAUGGCUUAACCAUUGAACUGCGCUUGAAACUGGGAGUCUAGAGUUCAGAAGGGGCAGAUGGAAUUAGUGGUGUAGGGGUAAGAUCCGUAGAUAUCACUAGGAAUAUCAAAAGCGAAGGCGAUCUGCUGGGAUGAUACUGACGCUGAGGCACGAAAGCGUGGGGAGCAAACAGGAUUAGAUACCCUGGUAGUCCACGCCCUAAACGAUGAAUGCUAGUCGUCGGGAGGCUCGUCCUUUCGGUGAUGCACUUAACAGAUUAAGCAUUCCGCCUGGGGAGUACGGUCGCAAGAUUAAA
rnacentral:rRNA from 1 species